UCAGUCAUCUGGGUGAUUACGUGUAAAGUCUCCUGUAUGAGCUGUAGCUCGCUGACUAGCACUGGCUAGCAUCCCGUUAGAAACACAAAGUCUGUAGGUCAUAUUACGGACUGCCACGGCUCCAGCUUUGCUUUCAGUGUUUGUAGAGAGCAAAAAGCAUUUCACCCUCGAGAACCACACGAAGUGACUUUCAAUCGAAGUGAAAAUGAUGUAGCAGUAUGGAAGUACUAUCAGGAACCUCUUUCAGGUGUUACUGCAUAAGGAAGUGGUGCUGUCUGAGGCGACACAGCAGGGAGCCUUAAACUCUGAGCACUGGGUGAAGAAACUGAACUGCACCCAAGAAGAGAAACUGAAAGAAGAAUAUGUUUGCUAAACUGAAAAAGAAGAUUGCAGAGGAGGCCGCCACAGCACCUCGGAGUGGUGCUCGCAUACCCCGCACCAUCAGCAAGGAAUCCAUCACCUCAGUGGGAGCAGACUCCGGGGAUGACUUUGCAUCUGAUGGCAGCAGCUCCAGGGAUGACCUUCCUGCCCAGCUCCUCAGAAGAAAUGAUCAGAUCCGGAGGCUGGAGGCCAAGCUGUCAGGUAUGAUGUACAAGAGUAGUGUAAGCAGCCGAAGUGAUGCAGUUUUCAGGAGCAAUCUGAGUUCAAUUUAAAUGC